rnacentral:misc_RNA from 1 species
GGAGGACUUUUUGUAUAUGUGGAAGAUGCCCAUCCUUCUUUAGCUGAAGCGUAAAGAACAGGAAAAUCUAGUUGUUCCUCUGAAGCACCAAGGUUUGCGAAAAGAUCAAAUACAAGGCUCUCAACUUCAUUACAUCUCUCUUCAGUCACUGCAGGUUUAUCUACUUUAUUAAGAAGAAGAAUGGGGCGUAAACCAUAUUUAAGGGCCUUGGCAAGAACAAAUUUUGUUUGUGCAAGUGGACCUUCGCCAGCAUCAACAACAAGGACUGCUCCCUCAACCAUGCCAACAACCCUCUCAACUUCACCACCAAAAUCUGCGUGUCCAGGAGUGUCCACCAUGUUUAGCUCUUUGUCCUUCCACGAGAUGGAUGUAACCUUAGAAGCAAUAGUGAUGCCGCGCUCUCGUUCGAGGUCAAUAGAGUCUAAGGCACGCUCGUGAGGUAUAUCAGCGCCGCACUGACGAAGCAGCCUAUCCAUGAGAGUAGUCUUUCCAUGAUCGACGUGAGCUAUAACCGCGACAUUCCUGAGCCGGCCAGGAUCCAGAGCGCCGCCGGGUGCUGUGGCGGCGGAGCCAACGGGGGCGGUAGCUGUGGCGGUGGAGAAAGCUCGAGCAUAGGAUAAAGGUUUGAUAUGAGAAUAAUGAGAGGAGGAGAAGGAUCUCCUAGUGGUAGACCAGAGAGAUCGAAGCAAUGGACCGACCAUUUCGAACUCCAAAGAGAGAAAUGGCUCUUCCGCUUCUCUGCUAAAUCUUAG